rnacentral:tRNA from 1 species
GGGCGAAUGGCGGAACUGGUAGACGCGCACGACUCAAAAUCGUGUUUUGCAAAAAGUGAGAGUUCGAUUCUCUCUUCGCCCACCA